UACGUAGGGUGCGAGCGUUGUCCGGAAUUAUUGGGCGUAAAGAGCUCGUAGGCGGUCUGUCGCGUCGAUCGUGAAAACUUGGGGCUUAACCCUGAGCUUGCGGUCGAUACGGGCAUGACUGGAGUUCGGCAGGGGAGACUGGAAUUCCUGGUGUAGCGGUGAAAUGCGUAGAUAUCAAGAGGAACACCUGCGGCGAAGGCGGGUUGCUGGGCCGACACUGACGCUGAGGCGCGAAAGCUAGGGGAGCGAACGGG
rnacentral:rRNA from 1 species